rnacentral:ncRNA from 1 species
CGAGGGGUGGUCGGAAACGGUCUGAGAGGCUGGCCUGGAUGUCAGUCAACCCUUUGAACCUGAUCCGGUUAGUACCGGCGAAGGGACUGGAAUUU